AUGCGUCUGGGCAAGAGCGGGCAGGCCAGGGGCACCGCCUCUAUGGCCCCCACCCUUGCUUCCACCAUAGGCCCGACAGUCUUCCCGCUGUCCACCAGCCUUGGAGACACGUCUGGCUCCAAGGUGUCCCUGGCCUGCCUAGUCUCUGGCUACUUCCCUGAGCCAGUGACCGUGUCCUGGAACUCCGGCUCCCUGACCAGCGGUGUACACACCUUCCCGUCCGUCCUGCAGUCCUCGGGGCUCUACUCUAUGAGCAGCAUGGUGACAGUGCCCACCAGCAGCUCGUCCAGCCAAUCCUUCACCUGCAACGUACACCACCCGCCCAGCAACACCAAAGUGGACAAGCUUGGUGAGAGCACAACCACAGAGAGGUUGUCCCCAGGAGAGUGUAAGAAGCCCGUCACAUGCCCAGCUUGUCCAACCCUGGGAGGGCCCUCGGUCUUCAUCUUUCCCCCGAAACCCAAGGACACCCUCAUGAUCGGCCGGACUCCCGAGGUCACGUGUAUUGUGGUGGACGUGGCCCCGGAGGACCUCAACGUUGACAUCACCUGGUACGUGGACGGCGCAGAGAAGAAGUCAGUGUCCGAGAAGGCCCAGGAGCAGCAGUUCAACGGCACCUACCGCGUGGUCAGCACCUACCCCAUUCUGCACCAGGACUGGCUGAAUGGCAAGACGUUUAAGUGCAAAGUCAACAACAAGGCCAUCCCAGCCCCCAUCGAGAGGACCAUCUCCAAGGCCAAAGGGCAAGUCCAGGUCCCACAGGUGUACACGCUGGCCCCACACGCAGAAGAGCUCGCAUCGAAGGACAAGGUCAGUGUGACCUGCCUGGUCAAAGGCUUCUACCCGGCAGACAUCAGCGUGGAGUGGCAGAGCAACGGGCAGCCAGAGCCGGAGAGCAAGUACAUCUCGACGCCGCCGCAGCCGGACGUGGACGGGUCCUACUUCCUGUACAGCAAGCUCACCGUGGAGAAGAGCCGGUGGCAGGAGGGAAACACGUUCACCUGCGAGGUGAUGCACGAGGGCCUCCACAACCGCUACGCCCAGAAGUCCAUCUCCCGAAACCCGGAGCUACUCUUGGAUGAGAGCUGUUCGGAGGCCCAGGCGGGGGAGCUGGACGGGCUGUGGACCACCAUCUCCAUCUUCAUCACCCUCUUCUUGCUCAGCGUGUGCUACAGUGCCACCGUCACGCUCUUCAAGGUGAAGUGGAUCUUCUCCUCGGUGGUGGACCUGAAGAGGACCAUUGUCCCUGACUACAGGAACAUGAUUGGACAGGGGGCUUAG